rnacentral:rRNA from 1 species
UAAUUUGGAGAGGAUGCUUCGGGUGUGGCCCCGGUCUAAGUUCCUUGGAACAGGACGUCACAGAGGGUGAGAAUCCCGUACGUGCCCGGUGGCCGCCCCCGUGUGAAGCUCCUUCGACGAGUCGAGUUGUUUGGGAAUGCAGCUCAAAAUGGGUGGUAAAUUUCAUCUAAAGCUAAAUAUUGGCCAGAGAUCGAUAGCGCACAAGUAGAGUGAUCGAAAGAUGAAAAGCACUUUGGAAAGAGAGUUAAACAGUACGUGAAAUUGUUGAAGGGGAAGCGCUGGCAACCAGACUUGCGCGGGGUCGAUCAUCCCGUGUUCGCACCCGGGCACUCGGCCCCGCGCAGGCCAGCAUCGGUCUGGGCGGCUGGAUAAAGGCCUUGGGAAUGUGGCUCUCUUCGGGAGGUUUUAUAGCCCAAGGUGCAAUGCAGCCCGCCUGGACCGAGGACCGCGCUCCGGCUAGGAUGCUGGCGUAAUGGUUGUCAGCGACCCGUCUUGAAACACGGACCAAGGAGUCUAACAUCUAUGCGAGUGUUUGGGUGUCAAACCCAUACGCGUAAUGAAAGUGAACGGAGGUGAGAACCCUUAAGGGUGCAUCAUCGACCGAUCCUGAUGUCUUCGGAUGGAUUUGAGUAAGAGCAUAGCUGUUGGGACCCGAAAGAUGGUGAACUAUGCCUGAAUAGGGUGAAGCCAGAGGAAACUCUGGGUGGAGGCUCGCAGCGGUUCUGACGUGCAAAUCGAUCGUCAAAUUUGGGCAUAGGGGCGAAAGACUAAUCGAACCAUUUGCUAGGUGGUUGAGAGGCAGCUGAAAAGAAUGUUUAGUGGGAGUCGCACCGCAACACUGUCAACCUGCGGGGACGUCCUGUUGAAGUAUAGCUACCGCCCCUAGAGUCGAAAGGCCUAGGGGCACCAGGGUAAUGACCUCGGGUAUGGUAACAACGCUAUAUGGAAGGAUAACCCGCAGCCAAACCCUGUAAAAUGGGCGCAGUUCACAGACUAA